rnacentral:lncRNA from 1 species
UCCUUCCUUCCUGAUCUAUCAUCCAUAGCCCUACUGUGUCUUUUAGUUCACAGAAGUUAAAAGGAAUUAUCGUCUGUUGUCAUUGUGUUUUUAAGAACUCGUGAAAAUAGACUCCAGUCUUCUCCCCCUCUCUACCCUUUCCCUCUCAUUUUUCCCCAUCUGUAUAGUCUAAGGUAACCCUAAUUUCCAGUUUAUCUUUCCCAGGGGAUUUGAACAUACCACCUUUAUAAUUCUAAUAUCAAACAGAAAAAAAACCCUAAUAUUAUCUAUAUGGACCCCCAAUUCCAUGAAAAUCAAAUAUUUGG